CGCAAAGCUGCAUCUUAUUCCACCAAUGAUGACUCUGCCACACAUGACUCUGCCAAUGCUCCCAAGUCCACUCCUCAAGCCACUACUCCGCGCGUGAUGACAGGCCAUGAACUUCUGCUUAGUCUUCACCAGAAGGUGGAUCGAAAUCACAAAUGGGUUAAGCGUCAGUUUGGUUCACUUCUUCACAACAUGACUGCCACACACAAUGCAGUGAAGAAAAACCACUACUACCUCCAUCAAGUCUUCGGUCACACCUGGGCAAUCCUGUCACAUCUAUAUGGUGAAGAAGAUCUAAAGAACAUGGGUCUCAAAGAAGAUUUUUACUGGUCUACACCUCCACCGAAGAAAUUCAAGAAGGUCCAAGUUCCUUCUCUGGUGGCCAGCUCAUUUUCUACAUCGCGCGACACUAAUGAACAUGAAGAUUUGGACGACACUGCGGCAGGCCCUACAUCAACC
rnacentral:rRNA from 1 species